AUCCCUGGAAACACACACAUGGAUGUCAACAGACAGUGCAUAGGGACAAGUGUUACAGUUCCCUGCCCCAGAGGCACCUUCUCGUGGGAGAAUCAGUGCAGGUUUUGGCAUUGGGGAGAGUAGAAUUGAAAUCCUAGCUCUACCUCUUGCUGGCUGGCUUGUGACUUUGGGUGAGUAAUUCAGCCUUCCAGGUUCUUCCUCAGUGAAAUGGGCAGCAAAGAAUGCUUGUGAGAAGGAAAUGAAACAGUGUAUAUGUCUACAGAGAGAAAGCCAUUGAUAUUGUUGGUAUCUAUUCUCUUCUUCCCAAAUGUGGCUCAUCCGUCUCAGGCAAAAUACCUACACCAGUGUGCCUCAGGAGUUGGCAACCUGGAACACCUGGGGGCCACUGUGAGCUGGGGUUGGAGCAUACAGCUGAGGCAAGCAGAUGACGCCGAGAGUCUAGGAAUGCAAUGCUGUGACAGAGGCCGCCCCUCCCAUGCUGAAGGAACGCCUGCAGUGCCGGCAUCCUAUAUGGGCGUUGGUUCGAGUCCUGGAUGCUCCUCUUCCAAUCCAGCUCUCUGCUAUGGCCUGGAAAAGCAGUGGAAGAUGGCCCAAGUCCUUGGGCCCCUGCAGCUGUGUGGGAGACCUGGAAAAGGCUCCUUGCUCCUGGCUUUGGAUCAGCUCAGCUCCAGGCAUUGCAGCCAAUUGAAGAGUGAAAUAGCAGAUCGAAGAGCUUUCUGUCUCUCCCUCUCACUGUCUGUAACUUGACUGUCAAGUAAAAUCUUUAUUAAAAAUUAAAUAAACUUUUCAAAUGAUAAAAAUUAAAA